AGUAAAUCGUACAGUCUCGUUGUGACCAGCGAGGAUCAUUACAGAGACUUAUCUAACUCCCAAACCCAUGUGAACUUACUAUUGUUGCCUCGGCAGAACCGUACACCGGUACCUACCCUGUAACGACCUACCCUGUAGCGAGUUAUCCGGGAACGGCCUACCCCGGUUAAGGCCGGCCGGCCUUGGCCCGGUGACUUCUAAACUCUUGUUAUUUAUUGUAAUCUGAGCGUCUUAUUUUAAUAAGUCAA
rnacentral:misc_RNA from 1 species